GACGGAUAGCACAACUGGUUAGUGCGCCUGCCAAUUUUAGGAUGAUUGUGGUUGUCUUUACGCAGGAGACCCUCGUUCGAGUCGAGGUUGGGUCA